rnacentral:rRNA from 1 species
AUACGGAGGAUCCGAGCGUUAUCCGGAUUUAUUGGGUUUAAAGGGUGCGUAGGCGGCCAUUUAAGUCAGGGGUGAAAUACGGCAGCUCAACUGUCGCAGUGCCUUUGAUACUGAGUGGCUUGAAUACCGUUGAAGAUGGCGGAAUGAGACAAGUAGCGGUGAAAUGCAUAGAUAUGUCUCAGAACACCGAUUGCGAAGGCAGCUGUCUAAGCGGUCAUUGACGCUGAUGCACGAAAGCGUGGGGAUCAAACAGGAUUAGAUACCCUGGUAGUCCACGCCCUAAACGAUGAUAACUCGAUGUUAGCGAUAUACAGUUAGCGUCUUAGCGAAAGCGUUAAGUUAUCCACCUGGGGAGUACGCCCGCAAGGGUGAA